UAUCCGUGUGUUUUUCAAAAACCGCGCGCAUUUUUCAGUCAGUCACGUCACGUGCACUCCGCUCAUCCACACUGGACCGCACUCACUCACUCGCUGAUGGGAUCACAGCAGGAUUAACGUUAUUCGCGAGACACGACGCGGUCAUGGUAAAAAAUACAGUGCAAAGGCAGAGAGUGAAGGUGUGGUGGUAUUGGCAGCAAGAAGGCUGCAAUAAUAUGGGCCUGAAAUGAAGUACCGGAACAUUAUCAGUCAUUCAGGCUAUGAUCCUGGCAGAUCUACUUCCUGAAAAGAAGACUCAGCAGAUCUUUUCAAGACACACUAGAUGGAGCGCGGAGAGACCGGACAGUUCCCACAGUGCUAGUUUUUCAGCACCCACACCCCAA